rnacentral:rRNA from 1 species
GUGCCAGCCGCCGCGGUAAUACGUAGGUGGCAAGCGUUGUCCGGAAUUACUGGGCGUAAAGGGUGCGCAGGCGGACAUUUAAGUGAGAUGUGAAAUCCCCGGGCUUAACUUGGGGGCUGCAUUUCAAACUGGAUGUCUAGAGUGCAGGAGAGGAAAGCAGAAUUCCUAGUGUAGCGGUGAUAUGCGUUGAGAUUAGGAAGAAUACCAGUGGCGAAUGCGGCUUUCUGGACUG